rnacentral:rRNA from 1 species
GAAAGCCUGACGGCGUGCCUAAUACAUGCAAGUCGAGCGAACAGAAAGGAGCUUGCUCCUUUGACGUUAGCGGCGGACGGGUGAGUAACACGUGGAUAACCUACCUAUAAGACUGGGAUAACUUCGGGAAACCGGAGCUAAUACCGGAUAACAUAUUGAACCGCAUGGUUCAAUAGUGAAAGGCGGCUUUGCUGUCACUUAUAGAUGGAUCCGCGCCGUAUUAGCUAGUUGGUAAGGUAACGGCUUACCAAGGCAACGAUACGUAGCCGACCUGAGAGGGUGAUCGGCCACACUGGAACUGAGACACGGUCCAGACUCCUACGGGAGGCAGCAGUAGGGAAUCUUCCGCAAUGGGCGAAAGCCUGACGGAGCAACGCCGCGUGAGUGAUGAAGGUCUUCGGAUCGUAAAACUCUGUUAUCAGGGAAGAACAAAUGUGUAAGUAACUGUGCACAUCUUGACGGUACCUGAUCAGAAAGCCACGGCUAACUACGUGCCAGCAGCCGCGGUAAUACGUAUGUGGCAAGCGUUAUCCGGAAUUAUUGGGCGUAAAGCGCGCGUAGGCGGUUUUUUAAAUCUGAUGUGAAAACCCAAGGCUCAACCGU